AGCGCGGCUCGCAGAGGGCCGGGCGGGCUCGGCGGGGGCUCCGCUCCCGUUAAUCCGGGCACUGCUCCCCGCCCGGUGCCGCAGGGUCGGGGGUCACCGGCAGCCCCCGCCAUACUGCUCGGCAUCCUCGCCGCCGCUCCCGCCGCCCCUCCGCUCCCCGUUCCCCGCCGCCGCCAGCACCACCGAUUAACCGGCGGAGAGCUGAUUAACGCUCCGGCCGAGCGCCCCGCGAUGCUCCGCGUCCCACGGGCUGCGGCGGGAGGCGGCCUCGCUCCUCCCCGCCUCUCCCUCCGCUGAGUCUUCCCCCCCACUCCGCCCGAGCCGCGCUCUCCGGAGCAGCAGAAAUGGAGGGGGAAUUGCCCCGCGGCAAAGCCCGGCUGCCCUCGCUGCUCCUGGCGCUGCUGGGGCUCGGGCCAGAGCUGCUCUUCGGCCAAGCCCGGGCGCAGCCCCAGCAGGUCAACGGCGUCCUGGGGGGGUCGGUGCUGCUCUCGCCGGCCCUGCCCCCCAACAAGACGGUGAAGGAGAUCGAGUGGAGCUUCUCCGCCGGCACCGGGGCCAUGAUCCAGGUGGCCGAGUUCAGCCGCGGCGGCUUCGAGCGGCCCGACCCCCGGGACCGCUUCGGGAACCGCCUGGAGAGGCACAACGAGACGGCGCUGAGGAUCCGCAGGUUGGAGAGGGGCGACAGCGGCGUCUACGGGGCCAGGAUCAAACUGCACCCCGCGCUGGUGGAGGAUCAAACCUUCAACCUCUCCGUCUACGAGUCGGUGCCGAGCCCCCGGACCCGCAGCCAGCUCCUGGCCAGCACCGUGGAGUGGUGCAACCUGACCCUGCAGUGCCAGGGCUCGGGCAAAGGCGCCGUCAACGUCACCUGGAAGCGCGACAGCCUCACCUGGGACCUGCUCCCCGACCGCCACCAGCUGUCCCCGGACGGGACCACCCUGAGGGUCAACCUGCCCCCCACGGCCGCCAACGUCACCUACGCCUGCACCGUCAGCAACCCCGCCGACCAGAAGGUCGCCCUGUUCGACCUGCAGACCAUCUGCCAGGGAGGAGGGGGACAAACGUCCUUCUCGACGUCGGGGUACAUCGUGCUGACCCUCAUCCUGCUGGCCGUGAGCCUGGGGGGGGCCUUCUGGUGCUGGAGGAUGAACAGCGAGAAGGCGUCGGAUCCAGCCGCCACCCCCACGGUGCCCGCCGAGGAAAGCCCCUCGGAGCCCCAGUACACCGACAUCGUGUGCAGGAGCCCCCCGGAAGGGCCCGAGUCACCCCGAGAAUAACCAGGAGCAGAGCUCGCCGCAGAAAGGAGCAGCAGCAGCGGCCGCCCCCGGCCAGGAGCAGCAGCAGGGCCAGGCAGCGCCAGGGGACACGGCCGAGGAGGUGACAUAGACCCUCAGGUACCCGCAGGGCCGGAGCGCCGGGAUCUCCUGGAAGGGCUGUAAAAGUGCGUCGUGUGCCAAAUCCCAACCCUCCAGCCCCUCCCCGGCGUCGGCUCCGGGCUCGGGAGGCUCCAGCGCGGGACUUCAGCCGGACGGACCCUUUUCCCACCUCCCGACCACCAUCACCACCAUCCCCCUCCCCUCCUCCUCCGGUUCAUCUCCCACCUCCUUCCCCGGUGCCCUCCGAGACUGUUUGGGGAGCGGGAUCCUGGACCGAGGCGGUGGCGGCCGAGCUGGGGGUCCCUCCGUGGUGUCCCCCCCCACCCCCUCCGCGUGCUCCGGGAUGCUCCAGGAUGGGGAAAACCUCCUGGAUUCGCCCCCUCCUCCACGCGCUGCCGCCGCGGGACUUGGCCUGGGUUGGGGAUGGGGUUUUUGGGGGCACCAGGGAGGGCAAGGGGGGGGACAUGGCGGGGGACACUUUGUGGCACGGCGGGACGGCGAUGAGCCCCCCAACCCCCCCGGAGCGCGUGGACCUCCGCUCACCCCACCCCCCUCUCCAGCCUCGGGCUCCCCCCGGGGUCUCGCAGGGACCCUCCGUGGGGAGAUGCCCGCGCGUGGGGGACGGGGGGGGGGAACUGCCAACCUACCACUGCCAAAGGGACACGGAGCGGGGGGGACACAGCGCGGUGUCCCCCGACCUGCGGGGGUGAAGAAGAAGGACCGUCCAUCGCCGGUGCAGAGCCACGGGAAACGCCCCCUCCCUCCC